AAAAGAACAUCAAAGAUAAUGUUUUAGCAGUAGAAAGAGGAGAUUUAGUAUAUCACCUGUAAGAAGAUCUUCAGAUACAACUACAACAAUCAAUGCAAGAAACAACAACACCAGGCCUGCAAAAAUGGUAUCUGUUCCUGCAACUGUUUCAUCCCUUGUAACGGGUAAUAGCAAUGAUAAUGGUUGUGGAGGUGGAGAAUCUGCAAAGCUACAACUGUUAUUAAGAGGAUUACAGUUAGGAGAAAUGUAGGCGCAGCCUCACCGCGUUCUCAAUCUCCUGCAAGAGCAAAUGGGAAUGCAGCAAAUCUCCUUAGCCGCAGCUCCUCAAGGAAAGCAUAAGAAUCGCCAUACAGAAGAAAUCCAUUGCGUGAGCUUGCACCUAACACUUUUCCUAUUCCACAUUCAACAACGAACUAUAACAGCAGCCGACUGGAAAGUAGAUCCAAGAAGGAAGCUGAAUUUGAAGCUAAUCAUCUAUACAUGUCAUUUACCAUAUAAGACGGCUUUUGCUUUAAAUUGUAAAGUACGACUACAUUUGAUAUGUGCAAUUUUAAAAUGUAUGAUUAUGUUAUUAGUAACACAAUAAAGUAUGUAUUUGAUGAAUGACAUAUAAAGUCAAAAGAGUGGCAAAAACAAAUGUUAUGCAUUUUAAUAAGUCCAGGCGAUGUGAGUGUUUUUUCAAUACUAGUGAAAUUGUUAACGUCGUUUAAGUGACUUUAGAAGAUGUAAAUGCAAU
rnacentral:lncRNA from 1 species